GCAGGGUUCCCAUGGUGAUGGUCCGUGAGCUCGCUUCUGGAAGUGAAUAAUGACAUGGAAUGGAGGGGUCCGACUUUCUGCCUCAAAGCGUAUGAAGGUAUUACGUGACUGUUUCCUGCACUCAGACUGUGGAAAAGAGGGACCUUUUGGUGGACUGCAGAGCUAGAAUGGAAAGUGGAUAUUAAGGGCUCAAAGGGAAAAAUUCUCUCCUUUUCCUUCCUGUUGGCCAUGCCCUCAGCAAUCAGUACAGGGCCUAGGGAGCCUUUGAAAGGGCAUAGCAGCUACCACAAGACCAGGGAUGAGAUUCCAUGAAGAUUGAUGUAUAGUGGAGCUCCUGGGGAGGGGGAACAUCUCAGAGGAACAGCCUGUGGGAGCCAGCCCUGCAGUCUGUGGACUUGGCAGCCAAGACAGUGCGUUCUUCAAGCAAGGGAGCAAUUCCAUCCACUGACUCACUCCUAAUAGAAAAAAAGCAAGCCAGCACCUGCGACAGCGAA
rnacentral:lncRNA from 1 species